rnacentral:lncRNA from 1 species
UCUACAAAUGUAUACCCUUUUUCUUAAUAAAUCUAAAGGGUAGUAUUUCUUUGGUCGACUCUGGAGUUUAGAAAGUGAAACUGAAUAGAAACCAAGAUGAAAGAUAGUCAUCAGCCUUCCUCUUUAGUGUUGACUGCAGCACAAACGACCAAAUGAUGAGAAAUAAAUUACAGUUAAAAAAAAAAUUCCCUGUUUUAAUUACUGCAAAUGUUAAUGUGACUAGGUAAGAAUUAUUUUUAAUCACCUAUAAUUACACGAAUAGUGUACAUCUAAAAGCAUAAAGUCAGUAUCCAAAAGCCACAAUUAAAAAAAAAAAAAAACCCUAAGACAAACUUUGCUUUUGUUCGAAAUGUGUAAUACUUUCUCUUUAUAUGCUGCUUCUCCCAAAUAAAUUCUACGGUUAGAAUUGCUGGUUUUUAGCAAAUACAGAAAGCCAGCUGCAAACAUCCUCUCCCUGAAUUCAACGGGUUUGCCUCUUAACCAGUUUGAGCAAAUUCUUGGCGAAUAUUUCAUGAACUCACAAGAGACGAAUUUAUGUGACACGUUUAGGAGACAUGUAAAAUAAAGUCGUGAAAGUUUUAAAUCUUCGCAAAAUUGGGGAACUCCCUGUGCCAGAGACAGCUCACUAGACCUGCAAUUAAUACUUGGGAUUAUAAAGGAAUGCACAUAUUCUUCCUUAUCAUUGUGUAUUAGGAUCGUCCAUUCUAGGAAGGAUUUUUCGUUCCCUCCUUCACAAUGGAGGGAAGGAGACCGAGGGCGAGCUAGGUCUGCGGUCGGAGGAGCGUCUAUAAAUAGAAGCCAGCAAAACAGCCUCUGAAGGUCCAUGGAGACUUCAGAGAGAGAAGCUCUGCGUGUUGCCCCGGAUGAACAUCUUCUAGGCUGACUCCAAGCUGUCCGAGUGAGCCCCAGCAUCUGCUCUUCACGGCCCAGGGACACCCUUGAGUCUCUGCAGUCGGUGCGGGAGGGUCUGUGGCGGACGACUUGCCUGUGUGGUUUUGUUUUCCUUUGUCUACAUUUGGUUGGCAUAAACACUUCUGAAAAAUGGGCUGCAGCUGAUGCCUUUUAGUUUGGUUCCUUUAACGAGGGGUUUAUAAAACGACUCUUACCAUGCAGAACACAUGUUCUCGGUAUACAGUUACUUGAUGGAUUGAAACAGUGCUGAGGGAGGCAGAACACAUGGUUUAAAAUAUUCCUAAAAUGCAUAAUUACCCCGUGGACCAAUCGGGUACAUAAUAUACAUUUUAAUACACCAUUUAAUUGCUGUUUACCUAGGAGACAGGAACUUUUCUGGUCUCUUGGGUUAAACUACAGAUUUUUAGAAACUGUCUAAACACAUAUUUACUUGAUUCAUUCUGGUCUCUUGGGUGAAGAAUCCUUUUCCAAU